GAUGAAGAACGUAGCAAAAUGCGAUACUUGGUGUGAAUUGCAGAAUCCCGUGAACCAUCGAGUUUUUGAACGCAAGUUGCGCCCGAAGCCUUUUGGCCGAGGGCACGUCUGCCUGGGCGUCACGCAUCGCGUCGCCCCCCACAAUUCUCCGUAAAGGGAACAUGUGUUUUGGGGGCGGAUAUUGGUCUCCCGUGCUCAUGGCGUGGUUGGCCGAAAUAGGAGUCCUUUCGAUGGACGCACGAACUAGUGGUGGUCGUAAAACCCCUCGUCUUUUGUUUCGUGCUGUUGCUCGCAAGGUAAACUCUUUAAAAACCCCAAUGUGUCGUCUCUUGACGACGCUUCGACCGCGACCCCAGGUCAGGCGGGACUACCCGCUGAGUUUAAGCAUAUCAAUAAGCGGAGGA
rnacentral:misc_RNA from 1 species